GACGGAGGGUGCAAGCGUUGUUCGGAAUUACUGGGCGUAAAGGGCGCGUAGGCGGUCUGUUAAGUUCGGUGUGAAAGCCCCCGGCUCACCUGGGGAACUGCGCCGGAAACCGACAGACUCGAGUACCGGAGAGAAGGGUGGAAUUCCUGGUGUAGCGGUGAAAUGCGUAGAUAUCGGGAGGAACACCAGUGGCGAAGGCGGCGAUCUGGGAAGAUACUGACGCUGAGGUGCGAAAGCGUGGGGAGCAAACAGGG
rnacentral:rRNA from 1 species